rnacentral:lncRNA from 1 species
UUAUAUCUUUGUUAUUUUAGCACAGCCCUCAUGCUUGCCGUAUGUCAUGGAUCAUCAGAGAUAGUCGGCAUUCUUCUUCAGCAAAAUAUUGACAUCUGUGCUGAAGAUAUGUGUGGAAUGACUGCAGGAGGUUAUGCUGUUGCUAGUAGAUUUAAUCCAUUAGUGUUUAUAUUUAAAGGGUAGCAUUCAUCAAUGUCUUUUGGAAUAUAAACAAAAGAUAUCUAAAAAUCCUCAAAAUAGCAAUCCAGGUAAGACUUCUGAUAGUAAACUACUCUUGGUGGUGCUACCAUAA